UACGUAGGGUGCAAGCGUUAAUCGGAAUUACUGGGCGUAAAGCGUGCGCAGGCGGUUAUGUAAGACAGGUGUGAAAUCCCCGGGCUUAACCUGGGAACUGCAUUUGUGACUGCAUAGCUAGAGUACGGUAGAGGGGGAUGGAAUUCCGCGUGUAGCAGUGAAAUGCGUAGAUAUGCGGAGGAACACCGAUGGCGAAGGCGGGUCUCUGGACAGUUCCUGACGCUGAGGCACGAAGGCCAGGGGAGCAAACGGG
rnacentral:rRNA from 1 species